UUGCCUUGCGUUCUGAAGCUCAACUAUUCCUAAUCUGCAGACUGGCUACCUUAGAGUUCUGAUGAACCGUCAAUUGGAUGGACUAGUAAAGCACGAGGGAGAAAGAUGUGGUUGUGUCCAGACUCCAAAGAGGGCAAAAUAGUUCAAUAAUUUCCGAAAUUGAUGGUAUUGCCUGAGAUAUGAUGCUUGCACACAAGAGAAGUUCAUGCUUGUGAUUGCAAAAUUGGUGUAUAUGUAAAGAUCUUGUCCUGGUUUCAUGAAUUGGAUGGGAUUUUUGGAAAGUCUCACUUGGGCAGGACAACUAUGGUCUUGAUUAUAUGUAUGUUGACUUUCCCACUUUUCUUUUGAGCAGGCUACUUCAAUUUUAGGUGAGCUGGCAGGGAUCACAAGCAUCGGUGUUGCAUUCCUGAAUCUCACAUACACAAGUAAGUAAUAUUCUCCCUCACAUAAAGUCCUUUAUUUGCAUGUAUAGUGUUUUGCUCACUUUCUUUCUAGCUAGCUGCUGCAUUCAUUCCUUUCCAUGGCACCGUAUAAUUCAUACCUCAGAGAGGUCAUUUUUGUGCAUGAUGUUCUGGUGUAACUACCAUUAUCUUUACUGGAGCAGAGCAACAUUUAAUAGGAAUUCCACCAUAAAUAUUUACCCAGAUACAACAUUCUUCUCUGGAAUUUGAGUUUUUUCCAGAAGGUUUAGGAUCUAAGGAUGAGCUAUCAGUGGUAUUGAUUAUACAACGAGUUUGUACAAAAUGUUCGCUGGUGUUGGGUGUUUACCUUUUAUCACUUCUAUAUCCCCUUAUUGUGUUUCUCUGUUUCUAGAAAGUAGGCCAUUUGUUCCAGGCUUUCAAGUUUGUGCCAUAACCUGAAGGAGAAAGAGUUCAUUAUUGACCAGCAGUUAAAAGCAGGUUCAGUUUUUUACCUCAUUUUCCAUCCCCACAGUAGCACUUUCUGUUAGUUCGAACAAUAUCUCAAUGCAUUAUUUACACACCUAGCUUGUGCUCUGUGACCAGAAUUGGUAAACUGUAGCCGUGAUAGUACUACACUGUAUUCAGAAAUAGCAGGAGGAGAUAAAGCUAGGUGUUGCAUAUAGGCCGGUGGUGAACCCUUUUAGAGCUGACGUUCCUUCAAAGUUGGAUAUCAUCUACAGUAACCUCACCGGAUCCAUAGAUCAACUGAACAAACAAAAGGCACUUAAGAUCUUUACUGGUGUCCAGAAUGUGUUGUCUGAUCAUCUAAGCGAACUGGCCCACUAUGCUAAGGAAUUAGGACAGUUCAGUUACUUGAUCGGACAGUUUAGCAUGCAGAAAUUGGAAGUAGGCUUAGAAAAACACCACCAAGCUUGAAAGCAGAAAAAGAUGCACACCCUCACCAUUAUUAUCUUCCUGUGAUAAUUUUAGGCUUGUACCAGGAAACUUGAAGAGGCAAUUUUAGUCGGUGGUGUGCUUUAAAAUUUCAUAUUACUGUUCGGUGUUUCUCCAUAACCGAGCUGCACGACCUCCGCCUUGACGAGCUGCUGGACCUAGGCCUCGACGAGACACCGGACCUCGGCCUCCCUCUGGUUUUCAUGCUGGAACAAUUUUGUAGAGACAAAUUGGAAGAGUGCAGCUGCCCUGGCUCAUGCAAUUGGAAGAAUUUAUGUUUUUUUCUACUCAGAAAAGGAAGCUAUUUUUUUCUGGUCGUAGAUAGAAAGGAUGCAACUUUGUCAGGGGUAGUAGAUACAAAGUUCAGUGUGUACAACAUAUAAACCGGAAGCCGUGCUUCCGGUUUCAACAUAUAAACUUUUUUGGUCAUACAAUUUGAAAUUUUAGCAUUUCACAUAGACAACCUAUCAUUUGUGGUUCAUCACAUUUACAUGCUCUGAUUCCCACGCUCAUGUGAAUAAGUAUAUGACAGAAAUUUCAAAGGAUCGUGUCAGUUAGAAUUAUCACAUGGGUACCCAUUUUUCUCCAUGAAAAUACCUCAUGCAAUGCUAUGUUCCAUAUUUUCUACAUUAUGAUAAGUUCGUAAUUUAUAUAUUGUUUCGACAUUAUAUUUUGUACUGAGACAUGCAGCCAUAUAUUCUAUUUCUGCUUCAAUAUAUUCUCCCAUGUGCAUUCUAAUAGACAAUUGGCCCUCUUUUUUUGUGAUAAUGAACUGCGUGAUUUAUGAUAGUCCUUGAUGAAAUGCCACUAAGUUAGUUUACUAUCUCAAGUCAGAUUCGAUAAUAAUUUAUUUUAUAUUGCCAUGUCGUUGCAGAUGAUCUCAGGUAAUCUGAUGCAUAAAAACAAAUUUUUGCUUAUUGUACAUGUCAUUAGCAGAUAUAUAUGAGAUGUGAGAGAGACAGAAGCUAAUAUCUUGGUAGUAUAAAUCAUUAUUGGAAUAUGAUGAAGGUUACAAAAGAAUGUUUUAAUAUAACAAGAUGCAAGUACUUGAUUUAAAUGAUGACUCACUUUGCUUCUUUUUUUAGUAGAGAGUGCAGUAGGCCAGUCGACAGACUGCCGCUAGCUUCUAGAGUUCCAAUACAACUCUACAACUCCACGAGUAUUUAUUGAUUAUCUCUCUUCUGAUUUGUUGUUCUUUCUUAAUUGUCUUCCUCUAUCUGGUACCAGAUAUUUGCAGCAAAGUCUUUGUAAAAUUAUGUUUACUUACAUCUAAUAUCUUGUUUCUUAAUUGCCUCCUUUUAUCCAUAACCAGAUGUUUAUAGCAGUUUCUGUAAAAUUGUGUUUACUUAUCUCGCGGAAAAACCUGUAACUCUCUUAAUUGUCAAGGGCACAUGUAGAAGCCAGUUUUCUACUUCAUGGUUAGAAUUGACUUCUUUUCUUGUAUUUGAAUCUAGGUAUCAUGUUGAGAUUAAGAAAAACCUAGGUCUUAAUUGAUUGCUACUACUAUCAGUGCAAUUCUUU